rnacentral:rRNA from 1 species
GGCGGCGUGCCUAACACAUGCAAGUCGAACGAGAAAGUGGUAGCAAUACCAUGAGUAAAGUGGCGCACGGGUGAGUAACACGUGACUAACCUACCCUGGAGUGGGGGAUAACUGAGGGAAACCUUAGCUAAUACCGCAUAAUACCUACGGGUCAAAGGAGCAAUUCGCUUCAGGAGGGGGUCGCGGCCGAUUAGUUAGUUGGCGGGGUAAUGGCCCACCAAGACAGUGAUCGGUAUCCGGCCUGAGAGGGCGCACGGACACACUGGAACUGAAACACGGUCCAGACUCCUACGGGAGGCAGCAGUGGGGAAUUUUGCGCAAUGGGGGAAACCCUGACGCAGCAACGCCGCGUGGAGGAUGAAGUCCCUCGGGACGUAAACUCCUUUCGAUCGGGACGAUUAUGACGGUACCGGAAGAAGAAGCCCCGGCUAACUUCGUGCCAGCAGCCGCGGUAAUACGANGGGGGCGAGCGUUGUUCGGAAUUAUUGGGCGUAAAGGGUGCGUA